UCCAGACUCCUACGGGAGGCAGCAGUGAGGAAUAUUGGUCAAUGGCCGAGAGGCUGAACCAGCCAAGUCGCGUGAGGGAUGACGGUCCUAUGGAUUGUAAACCUCUUUUGUCAGGGAGCAAAGGGCGCCACGUGUGGCGUUUUGCGAGUACCUGAAGAAAACGCAUCGGCUAACUCCGUGCCAGCAGCCGCGGUAAUACGGAGGGUGCGAGCGUUAUCCGGAUUUAUUGGGUUUAAAGGGUGCGCAGGCGGAAUGUCAAGUCAGCGGUAAAAUUUCGGGGCUCAACCCCGUCGUGCCGUUGAAACUGGCGUUCUUGAGUGAGCGAGGAGUAUGCGGAAUGCGUGGUGUAGCGGUGAAAUGCGUAGAUAUCACGCAGAACCCCGAUUGCGAAGGCAGCAUACCGGCGCUCAACUGACGCUGAGGCACGAAAGUGCGGGUAUCGAACAGGAUUAGAUACCCUAGUA
rnacentral:rRNA from 1 species